UCCCAUUGAGGCUGGGUCUAUCUGUGCAGGAGGAGUUUUCAGGCUGCACCUUGUUGUCCAAGGAGCUGCAGGUUUCAGAUGGACACGAGUGGAGUGGGACAGAGUGAGCUCCUCAAAAAGUAGAGCUUUGAAGGUCAGAAGUGAAGUUGUAUCCGAAGAGAAACUGGAACAAGUUCCUUUUGAACGCACGGGAGCCUCAGAAGCAGCCGAGUGCGUCAGAACAGGAAUGAAAGGCGUCAGAAAUAGCUGCCCCUGCCCCGUGUUCCCCGCAGCUGCUCUCCCCACGCUGCUUCCAGCUCCAACUCUACAAAGCCCACCCCUCGCAGGGCUCCCAGGCUGUGACAAGGGCACUGGGGUGUCCGCAGAACCCUUUAGCUUCAGUGACACCUGGUGGUGCUGCUUCUGCAUGGAAGUGCCUGGAGAGCAUCACCGCUGUGGGUGUCCAGAAUCGAGGACGACGGGGCAAGUCCUCACCGUGGGCAGUGGCUUCAGUCCUCCUUGGAUGGAAGCUUGGCAAGUCAGGAGCUGCUUACAUCUCUAGAAAUGAGGGGAAUACUGAGAGGAGGUGUAUCCAAAAGCAAUCUCGGUGCGCUCUGCCUGGAAGAUGCAAGCUCUGCAUGCAAGCUCUGCAUUAGGAACCUGCUGGAGCCAAGCAGGGCUUGAUUGAACUCCUCCAGAAGUGGUGGCUGGCCACAAUUCGGCAGCUGGGGAUGAAACAGCCCUUCCUCAUUGAAAGAAUGAAAUGGGAGCUGUGCAUUAACGAAAUACUGGGUUGGGUGCUCCAGACAGUGGCAUGCACCAAUGAAGAAACUCCUCUUCAGCACUGCGGAAUAACUGCCAACCUCAGUCAGUAGAUUGAUUGUGAAACUCCCACUUCAGCGAGGCGUUAAUUGAAGUGCCCUGUGGUGCUGGACGUGGAUCUUGGUGCUUCUCAGGUCGCAGCUGGGGCGCUGUGUUUGGUUCUGGUGCCCACAAUUAACAAAUGACACAGGCAAAGGGGUGAGGAUCCAGAUGAAGAACACGGAGACGACCACAGCUCUGGACAAGACCGAAGGGGUUGGGUCCUUCCACCGUGGAGCUCAUGGGGACUCACUGUGAUGUUCCACCACUUGGAGGGUGGCCACGUGGAGCAGACCGUGAGCACUGGGUGUGUGCAGCAGCAGGAGAGGUUUGGUCUUCAUGUAAGAAACAAUACUGUGCAGUGGGGACAGCUGUUCACCGGCACAGGGCUCCCCGGACCCUGGUGAGUCCCCAUCCCUGCAGCUUCUCAAGAUGCUGCUGUGCUGGGUGCCAGCCCAUCUCAUCCACGCUCCCUUUUCCCAUCACGUUGAACCCAACUGGCGAGGUGCCUUCCCACCCAGGCUCCGAGCAAAGGCCAAGUGCUGGGCUACGAGAGCUCUUCACUGCCCUUGUUUUCCAUGUGAUCUCACUUCUUCAGAGCACGCAGAGCCAGCGACAGCUCUCAUUGACUUGGCUCUCGCUCAUGGCCCAGGUCCCGGAGUUUUCUGCUCAUGAGAAAAACAGCCGAAGCACGCGCAGCCGUACGCGGCCUUAUCAGCACUGAUGGUAGCAACAGAACGUUGCUGCGAGGGGCUCUGCCCCUCACCCGCCUCCAUGGCAGCCUCCUUCAUGCUCUGGGCAGCGAAGGAGCAGAGCACGCUACUGAGCGGCGCGUUGUGAUGAGAAGUUGUAAGGUUUAUUUAACUUGCUGGGAGCCGCUUAGCAAACGACACGGAGAGUAACGACAGCGCUCUGCGUGCGUUUAAUACAUGCGGGGCUGGCAGGAGCAGAGGAGCAGAUUAUACAGCAGGAGACAUUUAUUAUCCUAAUGGGAAGUGACAGUGAGGGAUCACCCGGUGUGACACUCCUCGCUGUCGGAGGAGGAUGAGCUGCUGCUGGGCCAUGGGUCCACGUGUGCCCCGGCUCUGCUGGGUGCUGCCUGCCGGUGUCGGUGUGUUCCAAGCUGUGCUGGCCCUCCAGGUGAGGGCACGGCCCCAUGAUGCUGUGCUCCCUGCAGGGCUGGCUCGGGCACCGUUGGCUCUGCCCCAGUGCCCCAUGUGUCAGGACCCAUUUAAAAAACCACAGGGAUUCGUGUGGUGCCUCUAUUGGAAGAGCCGUGUUCCCUUGCCCUCCUGAUUGAGUUUUGCCCGUGGCUUUCAUCAGAUAAUUGUUAUUUUGUGCUAGCUUAUGUGAGCCCUUACUCAUUGCCAGCACAUCAAACAGCGAGUUCUGCGUUCCCCAAGAGACUGAACAGCAUUCUGCAAAAUGCAGGGAGGAAAUACAGCCGGGAUUUGCAACGUUCUUAAUUAAAGUUUUGGAGGCGCGUUGCCCAAGCAUGGCUGCGUGUUGGCUUCAGCUCACCAGGGCAGCCCUGUGCCUCCAUGUGAAGGCGGGUGGGACGAGUCCCUGUGCCCCUGCUGGAGCCACGUGGCCGUCUCACUCCUGUUGGCCCCAAUGCUGGGAUGCUGAAGAUAUGGACAGCAAAGCCACCUCUUCCGGGGUAGGAAGCCCCAUGGCCACAGCCCCUCUUGCAGCCCCAAAGUGCUCAUGGGGUGGCUCAGGGACCUCGCUGCGUGCCUCGCUGGCUUCAGCAGCGUUGCUUUCAGCAUAGAUCUGCCUGUAGGAACGCACAGCCCUGGCAGCAGGUUGAGGGCCUGGCCCCGGCACGCCCCGCCAGGACCGGGGGAUUGCAGCCCGGUACGUUUGUUCCUGGAAAAUGGUUUUCAGUUGUGCUUAAAAAUAGAUGAACGGAGCGCAGAUGGGCUCUGCGAGGGGAAGUUUGUCAAGCUGCCUGAAAGGUCCCUGCUACAGAUGGGGUACAGCCCACUCAGACCUCUUUGCAAGGGGCAGCACAAGAGGGCAGGAGGAGAAUGCUGUUCUGGAAAGCAAAGGCUGAAACGGGACCGAGAGGAUCUCAGUUUGUCAUGAAGGCAGCAACCCUGGUCCCAUGGCGAUGCUUAAUGCUUUCAGCAGCCAUCUGGAAAGGGGAAGGAGCCGGGAAGCGGAGCCCGGUUUGUCGAUGACACAGAGGGGAGCUGAUUGAAUCCAGACAGACUCGUAAGCAUCGCAGAGAAAACCUCACCGAGCCAGAGAGCGGCGUGAAGGCUGGGAAUCCGCUUCAGCGAGCAAACACCGUGGUGCAGCGGAGAGAAUAUUCUUGUAGGAAAUGGCAUCAAAUCCUGCAGGAGCCAGAGCCGCUGCUCUGCCCGCCGAAGGGGAAGAGCUGCAGCAAAGCUUGGCAGAGAGCACCCUCCAGUGGGCACCGGGAGCCCAAUAGGAGCCGCUGUGCUGGAGGAGCUGUGGGUCCGUUUGUUGGCCAGAUGUUGGGCGGGAUGACCCAGCACCCGGUGCCGUGUGCUCCGUGUUGGAGCAUCCCCGGCAUCGGCACCGCAUCCGUGCGUGGGCUGUCUCCGGGUUGUGACGGUGCUGGAGCAGCAUCUGGUUGCAAUCAGUGCUCUCAGAGCUGGCCACGCUCCUGCCCAGCCGGUGGCCAAGCGGGAUGUUUCCCACAGGAUCCCCAGCCCCUCGCUCUGUGUGCCGGCAUCCUGCACGUCCGCGGCAGCUGGCUGCAGGCAGGGCCCCGUCAGGUCCCGUACCGAGCUGUCUGCACCCCAUAGAUCCCCCAGCACUGCCCAACAGCAAGGCGGCAAGGCUGGCAAAAUGCAAACCUUAAAAAAAUGGAGCAGAUUGCUCAUUACCCAUGAGCAAUCGGUACCCAGAUUGCUCAUGGGUACCGUGAGCAUGGAUCAAACCAGGGUCAGAGCCACCACUGUGCUGCUUCUGCAUGGGAUUUCUCCUGUGUCGCUUGCCCUGGCCAGCCCUGCUCCUCUUAGGAUGGGCUGGUGAACCCCCAGGGCCAACACAGCGACAGCU